rnacentral:tRNA from 1 species
GCCGGUGUGGCGGAAUUGGCAGACGCAAACGACUCAAAAUCGUUCGCUGAAAGGCGUGUGGGUUCGAGUCCCUCCACCGGCACCC